UUAUUAUUAGGUCUUUCCACUUUUCUGUGGAAAGACCUAUUGUUUUUCUUCUGAUUAUUUUUUUUUUUUUUCUUCCGCCUAAUUUUGUUCUUGCGAUAAACAUUUGUUUCGCAAUAUGUCGCUUAGAUAUUUUGUAUAUGAUAUCGAACAGUUUAUGCGCUUUUGAAAUUUACCCUGCGUAAACGAAUACUUUUCUUUGUAGGAGUUAUCUCCCCAAACACUGUUUUCCUUGUUAGCGCAUCUCCUUCGCAACCGUAAAAGAUUAUGACAAAUUUAUUUUACAAAAUUGCUCGUUAUAUCCUUCGCAUGAUUUGUCCUAUUUUGACCGAAGCGAUAUGACCGCUCCAUAUGAGAGUUAUUUCCCCUUAUGCAUCUGAUAUAAGUGAUAUGAAUUUCUAUCUUAUAAAUCAUAAGUGAUAGAGACCUAGGAUCUUUUGAUUUGAGGUCCUUGGUCCCAAAAAAUGAAAAUUAGGUCAAGGUCAAAGGUCAAGGUCAUAUUCUGAUAUUUGAAUUUGGCUUAUUUUCACUUAUAUCCAAAGACUGUAUAAGAUAUCAACAAAUUAUUUUUACUAAAUUGUUAGUUGCGACAUGUCGUAAGAUGUAAGUUUUGAUUGCAAGCGUACAUUGAAUGUAAAAGGGAGUUUUCUCCCCUCUUGUAUGUAAAAAUACGCGUUUGGUGAUAUAACUCAUUAACUAAAUAUAAUUAAGACCUAUGGUCUUUUGAUUUGAGGUCCUUGGUUUAUGACCUUGAAAUUGAUCUCAAGGUCAUAGAUUAAUUUGACGUUCUAUAUUUUGACUUUGCUUUUAUUCUAUAUGUAUACAUGAUAAAGAUAUACAACUUUUAGAAAAAGG
rnacentral:lncRNA from 1 species